GAGCUUUUUCCAGCACCCCCUCCAAGGACUCCAGAAAGGUGGAAAAUUAAACAUGGACCAGUCAUUCUGUGUCUCUGUCCUCAAACCCAACUGGACAAAGCAGAYGCGCUGCUGCUCUCCCCUCUACAAAUAGCAGAAACCGCUGGAUGGAAGUCAGCAGACGUGAGCAAUCAGGUCAGUUCUCCACAAUCACAAUAAGAUGAUCAGAUUAAGUGUUUACAUACACGUCGUUCAGAUUAUAAAUCGACAUAAACCACCUCUCUCGUUCAGAUUACAAAUUCAUUCGG